GCUGGGUAUGUUGGCAUGCAUCCAUAGUCCCAGCUACUCUGGAAGCCCAGGCAGGGAGGAUUGCUUGAGCCCAGGGGUUCUGGGCUAUAGUACGCUAUGCUGACCUGCUGUCAUACCAAAGUUCUGCAUCAAUAUGGUGAGUUCCCAGGACCAGAGGACCAUCAGGAGGGAUGGACCAGCCUAGGUUGGACAUAGAGCAGGUCAGAACUCCUGUGCUGAUUAGUAGUGGAAUUGCACCUGUGAAUAGUCACUGCACUCCAGCUUGGACAACAUAGAGAGAUCCUGCCUCU
rnacentral:SRP_RNA from 1 species